CCUACGGGGGGCUGCAGUGGGGAAUAUUGCACAAUGGGCGCAAGCCUGAUGCAGCCAUGCCGCGUGUGUGAAGAAGGCCUUCGGGUUGUAAAGCACUUUCAGCGGGGAGGAAGGCGUUAAGGUUAAUAACCUUGGCGAUUGACGUUACCCGCAGAAGAGGCACCGGCUAACUCCGUGCCAGCAGCCGCGGUAAUACGGAGGGUGCAAGCGUUAAUCGGAAUUACUGGGCGUAAAGCGCACGCAGGCGGUCUGUCAAGUCGGAUGUGAAAUCCCCGGGCUCAACCUGGGAACUGCAUUCGAAACUGGCAGGCUAGAGUCUUGUAGAGGGGGGUAGAAUUCCAGGUGUAGCGGUGAAAUGCGUAGAGAUCUGGAGGAAUACCGGUGGCGAAGGCGGCCCCCUGGACAAAGACUGACGCUCAGGUGCGAAAGCGUGGGGAGCAAACAGGAUUAGAUACCCCGGUAGUC
rnacentral:rRNA from 1 species